rnacentral:rRNA from 1 species
AUUGAACGCUGGCGGCAGGCCUAACACAUGCAAGUCGAACGAGUGGCGGACGGGUGAGUAAUGUCUGGGAAACUGCCCGAUGGAGUGGGAUAACUACUGGAAACGGUAGCUAAUACCGCAUACCAUCGGAUGUGCCCAGAUGGGAUUAGCUUGUAGGUGGGGUAACGGCUAACCUAGGCGACGAUCCCUAGCUGGUCUGAGAGGAUGACCAGCGAAACUGGAACUGAGACACGGUCAAGACUCCUACGGGAGGCAGCAGUGGGGAAUAUUGCAAAAUGGGCGCAAGCCUGAUGCAGCCAUGCCGCGUGUAUGAAGAAGGCCUUCGGGUUGUAAAGUACGUUCAGCGAGGAGGCGUUACUCGCAGAAGAAGCACCGGCUAACUACGUGCCAGCAGCCGCGGUAAUUC